rnacentral:tRNA from 1 species
CCGGGUGUAGCGCAGCUGGUAGCGCGCUUGGUUUGGGACCAAGAUGUCGGGGGUUCGAAUCCCUCUACUCGGA